rnacentral:rRNA from 1 species
CGGACGGGUGAGUAACGCGUGGGUAACCUGCCUCAUACAGGGGGAUAACAGUUAGAAAUGACUGCUAAUACCGCAUAAGACCACAGCACCGCAUGGUGCAGGGGUAAAAACUCCGGUGGUAUGAGAUGGACCCGCGUCUGAUUAGCUAGUUGGUAAGGUAACGGCUUACCAAGGCGACGAUCAGUAGCCGACCUGAGAGGACGACCAGCCACACUGGGACUGAGACACGGCCCAG